UACGGGGGGGGCAAGCGUUGUUCGGAAUUACUGGGCGUAAAGGGCUCGUAGGCGGCCAACUAAGUCGGAUGUGAAAUCCCCAGGCUUAACCUGGGAACUGCAUCCGAUACUGGAUGGCUUGAAUUCGGGAGAGGGAUGCAGAAUUCCAGGUGUAGCGGUGAAAUGCGUAGAUAUCCGGAGGAACGCCAGAGACGAAGGUGGCUACCUGGCCCUGACCUGACACUGAGGCGCGAAAGCGUGGGGAGCGAACCGG
rnacentral:rRNA from 1 species